rnacentral:rRNA from 1 species
CCUACGGGAGGCAGCAGUGGGGAAUAUUGCACAAUGGGCGAAACCCUGAUGCAGCGACGCCGCGUGAGUGAAGAAGUAAUUCGUUAUGUAAAGCUCUAUUAGCAGGGAAGAAAAUGAUGGUACCUUAGUAAGAAGCCUCGGCUAACUACGUGCCAGCAGCCGCGGUAAUACGUAGGGGGCAAGCUUUAUCCGGAUUUACUGGGUGUAAAGGGUGCGUUGAGGGACGUGCAAGUUCGAGGGGAAAGUCGUGGGCUAAACCCUUGGACAAUUCUGGAAACUGUUUGGCUAGAGUGCAGGAGAGGUAAGUGGAAUUCCUAGUGUAGGGGUGAAAUGCGUAGAUAUUAGAAGGAACACCAGUGGCGAAGGCAGCUUACUGGACUGUAACUGACGUUGAGGCACGAAAGCGUAGGGAGCAAACGGGAUUAGAUACCCGUGUAGUC